rnacentral:lncRNA from 1 species
CGUCCACAUUCGGGGAUGAUGUUCGUGCCCUUUUAUCUUGGAACUUUGGCUGCUGGACUUUAAAAUACAACCUGUACAAGAUUUGAACCCACGACCUUAGGACUGCCAGUCAGUCUCCUUAUCCACUGAGCCAUGUCGACACAGAGAAGUCUUCUGGUUUUUUCCUAUUUCACUGUCGUUUGAAGACACAAGGCUUUAAAAUUCACCUCAACUUGGGUAAGGUGAGGCUUGAACCCACAACCUUAAGAGUGCCAGGCAGUCUCCUUAUCCUCUGAGCCAUGUGGACACAGAGGAGUCUUCUGUUUUUUUCCUAUUUCACUGUCGUUUGAAGACACAAGGCUUUAAAAUUCACCUCAACUUGGGUUAGGUGAGGCUUGAACCCACAACCUUAAGAGUGCCAGGCAGUCUCCUUAUCCUCUGAGCCAUGUGGACACAGCCCCACACUGGGCUUUUGAUUGACAUGGCCAAUCAAAAGCCCAGUCCCACCUUCAGAACAGAGCUUCACAGUUUGUACCCAACAGUCAUUGCCAAGGAUCCAGAACUGAUAAUCAGGACUUUUAGGCUGGGUGAAUAAAAAAUUGAUGGUUGGAAAAUUAAGCAGGAGUUAUCUUGUUUGUGUUUUUACAUUUUGGAGGAGCUGAGAGAUGAAGACAAGGCUUGGCAUUAUUUCAAUGUGAUUAGACCCAGAACAUUGCUCACACCAACGAAAUGCAGGUGCUUUGAGCUGGAAUUGGACCAGCGACCUUAGUAUCACAGCAUUUCAUAUGAGGAACGUCCUACAGUCCUCUGCUCUAACAAGUGAGCUAUCAAGGUGCUCUCUACUCACAACUGCAGAAAACAUAGUGGCUGAGACGACACACUAUUCCCACACAACUUUUCGACCCACAUGGUCAAUGAAAAGACUAGCCCUACCUGCAGAAGAAAGCUUUGCAGUUUGUACCCAACAGUCAUUGCCAGGGACCCAAAACUGAUAAUCAGGACUUUUAGGCUGAGCUUUUGAUUGACAUGGCCAAUCAACAGAAACUUCUCCCCACUUUUAAGGUGGAUAGCUGUCAAUCAUCUUCUUCACAGUCUAUGCUCUCAACAGAGGGAGCAACACUGCCACCAAGUGGAGGGGAGAUUACCUCAACUUGUGUGUGUGCACAUCUUGAAAACUGAGGCUGUGACUCAUUUCAGAGACCGCAUCGGGCUAAGUGCACUUCUGCACCGUCGAACGGUGCAUUUGAAGCAUGCAUGAAGUCACGACGGCGCGAACAGUGUCCCAUUUGGUACGAGAUGCUAAGAAAUGCUAAGCGCGCUUAGCAUUUUUUCAGGCGUGCAUUUAUAGACGCUUUCGUGCCAUCUGUAUCCCAGAAUGCUUUGCGUGCCGCUGCACAGCUGCGCAUUUCAGGUGAGAGGCUGGACUCGCUUGGAGACGCAGCGCGUCUUCAAAGAAAAUACAAGAAAUCCAAAACCAGCAGACAGUCAGCUCAGGCUGUAUGAGAGCAUGAUCUCUGAACUCACUAAAAUCUGUAAACCAAACAUUAAAGAUUUAGAGACGAACUGAUCCGCUCUGCUUCAACUAAAAAAAACAUGAUGGUCUUCUGUGUCCACAUGGCUCAGUGGAUAUGGAGACUCACUGGUACUCCUGAUAUUGUGGGUUCAAGUCUUACCCUUUCCAGUUCUAAGAGAAUUUUAAAGUCUCGAGUCCACAAAGGACAGCGAUAUGUGAAUAAAAAAACACAUUUCUCUUGUGUGUCCACAUGGCUCACGGGAUAAGGAGACUGACUGGGACUCCUGAGGUGGUGUGUUCGAACCUUUUUUGGGACAAGGUGAAUUUUGAAGUCUAGUGUCUAGACAGGAAAGUGAAAGAGGAAACAAAUGGUAUAAUCCUGUGUGUCCAAGUGGCUCAGGGAUAAGAACACUGACUGAAACUCUUGAGGUCAUAGGUUCGAGUCCUACCUUGCCCACUUUUUGGUGAAUUUUGAAGGUCUAGAGUCUACAAAGGACAGCGAUAUGUGAAUAAAAAAAUACAUUUCUCUUGUGUGUCCACAUAGCUCACGGUAUAAGGAUACUGACUGGGACUCCUGAGGUGGUGUGUUCGAGCCUUUUUUGGGACAAGGUGAAUUUUGAAGUCUAGUGUCUAGACAGGAAAGUGAAAGAGGAAACAAAUGGUAUAAUCCUGUGUGUCCAAGUGGCUCAGUGGAUAAGAACACUGGCUGGAACUCCUGAGGUCAUAGGUUCGAGUUCUACCUUACCUACUUUUAGGUGAAUUUUAAAGUCUCGAGUCCACAAAGGACAGCGAUAUGUGAAUAAAAAAACACACUUCUCUUGUGUGUGCACAUGGCUCACGGGAUAAGGAGACUGACUGGGACUCCUGAGGUGGUGUGUUCGAGCCUUUUUUGGGACAAGGUGAAUUUUGAAGUCUAGUGUCUAGACAGGAAAGUGAAAGAGGAAACAAAUGGUAUAAUCCUGUGUGUCCAAGUGGCUCAGUGGAUAAGAACACUGGCUGCAACUCCUGAAGUCCUAGGUUCGAGUCCUACCUUGCCCUCUUCUUGGUGAAUUUUAAAGGUCUAGAGUCUACAAAGUACAGUGAUAUGUGAAAAAAGAACCCAACUCUCUCGUGUGUCUACAUAGCUAACGGGAUAAGGAGACUGACUGGUACUCCUGAGGUGGUGUGUUCAAGCCUUUUUUGGGACAAGGUGAAUUUUGAAGUCUAGUGUCUAGACAGGAAAGUGAAAGAGGAAACAAAUGGUAUAAUCCUGUGUGUCCAAGUGGCUCAGUGGAUAAGAACACUGGCUGGAAUUCCUGAGCUCAUAGGUUCGAGUCCUACCUUGCCCACUUUUUGGUGAAUUUUGAAGGUCUAGAGUCUACAAAGGACAGCGAUAUGUGAAAAAAAAAUACAUUUCUCUUGUGUGUGCACAUGGCUCACGGGAUAAGAAGACUGACUGGUACUCCUGAGGUGGUGUGUUCGAGCCUUUUUUGGGACAAGGUGAAUUUUGAAGUCUAGUGUCUAGACAGGAAAGUGAAAGAGGAAACAAAUGGUAUAAUCCUGUGUGUCCAAGUGGCUCAGGGGAUAAGAACACUGGCUGCAACUCCUGAGGUCAUAGGUUCGAGUCCUACCUUGCCCACUUUUUGGUGAAUUUUGAAGGUCUAGAGUCUACAAAGGACAGCGAUAUGUGAAUAAAAAAAUAAAUUUCUCUUGUGUGUCCACAUAGCUCACGGGAUAAGUAGACUGACUGGUACUCCUGAGGUGGUGUGUUCAAGCCUAUUUUGGGACAAGGUGAAUUUUGAAGUCUAGUGUCUAGACAGGAAAGUGAAACAGGAAACAAAUGGUAUAAUUCUGUUCGUCCAAGUGGCUCAGUGGAUAAGAACACUGGCUGGAACUCCUGAGGUCAUAGGUUCGAGUCCUACCUUGCCCACUUCUUGGUGAAUUUUGAAGGUCUAGAGUUUACAAAGGACAGCGAUAUGUGAAUAAAAAAAUACAUUUCUCUUGUGUGUCCACAUAGCUCACGGGAUAAGGAGACUGACUGGUACUCCUGAGGUGGUGUGUUCGAGCCUUUUUUGGGACAAGGUGAAUUUUGAAGUCUAGUGUCUAGACAGGAAAGUGAAAGAGGAAACAAAUGGUAUAAUCCUGUGUCUCCAAGUGGCUCAGUGGAUAAGAACACUGGCUGGAACUCCUGAGGUCAUAGGUUCGAGUCCUACCUUGCCCACUUCUUGGUGAAUUUUGAAGGUCUAGAGUUUACAAAGGACAGUGAUAUGUGAAUAAAAAAAUACAUUUCUCUUGUGUGUCCACAUAGCUCACGGGAAAAGGAGACUGACUGGUACUCCUGAGGUGGUCUGUUCGAGCCUUUUUUGGGACAAGGUGAAUUUUGAAGUCUAGUGUCUAGACAGGGAAGUGAAAGAGGAAACAAAUGGUAUAAUCCUGUGUGUCCAAGUGGCUCAGUGGAUAAGAACACUGGCUGGAACUCCUGAGGUCAUAGGUUCGAGUCCUACCUUGCCCACUUCUUGCUGAAUUUUGAAGGUCUUGAGUCAACAAAGGACAGCGAUAUGUGAAUAAAAAAACACAUUUCUCUUGUGUGUCCACAUAGCUCACGGUAUAAGGAUACUGACUGGGACUCCUGAGGUGGUGUGUUCGAGCCUUUUUUGGGACAAGGUGAAUUUUGAAGUCUAGUGUCUAGACAGGAAAGUGAAAGAGGAAACAAAUGGUAUAAUCCUGUGUGUCCAAGUGGCUCAGUGGAUAAGAACACUGGCUGGAACUCCUGAGGUCAUAGGUUCGAGUUCUACCUUACCUACUUUUAGGUGAAUUUUAAAGUCUGGAGUCCACAAAGGACAGCGAUAUGUGAAUAAAAAAACACACUUCUCUUGUGUGUGCACAUGGCUCACGGGAUAAGGAGACUGACUGGGACUCCUGAGGUGGUGUGUUCAAGCCUUUUUUGAGACAAGGUGAAUUUUGAAGUCUAGUGUCUAGACAGGAAAGUGAAAGAGGAAACAAAUGGUAUAAUCCUGUGUGUCCAAGUGGCUCAGGGGAUAAGAACACUGGCUGCAACUCCUGAGGUCAUAGGUUCGAGUCCUACCUUGCCCACUUUUUGGUGAAUUUUGAAGGUCUAGAGUCUACAAAGGACAGCGAUAUGUGAAAAAAAAAUACAUUUCUCUUGUGUGUGCACAUGGCUCACGGGAUAAGAAGACUGACUGGUACUCCUGAGGUGGUGUGUUCGAGCCUUUUUUGGGACAAGGUGAAUUUUGAAGUCUAGUGUCUAGACAGGAAAGUGAAAGAGGAAACAAAUGGUAUAAUCCUGUGUGUCCAAGUGGCUCAGUGGAUAAGAACACUGGCUGGAAUUCCUGAGGUCAUAGGUUGGAGUCCUACCUUGCCCACUUUUUGGUGAAUUUUGAAGGUCUAGAGUCUACAAAGGACAGCGAUAUGUGAAAAAAAAAUACAUUUCUCUUGUGUGUGCACAUGGCUCACGGGAUAAGAAGACUGACUGGUACUCCUGAGGUGGUGUGUUCGAGCCUUUUUUGGGACAAGGUGAAUUUUGAAGUCUAGUGUCUAGACAGGAAAGUGAAAGAGGAAACAAAUGGUAUAAUCCUGUGUCUCCAAGUGGCUCAGUGGAUAAGAACACUGGCUGGAACUCCUGAGGUCAUAGGUUCGAGUCCUACCUUGCCCACUUCUUGGUGAAUUUUGAAGGUCUAGAGUUUACAAAGUACAGUGAUACGUGAAUAAAAAAAUACAUUUCUCUUGUGUGUCCACAUGGCUCACGAGCCUUUUUGGGACAAGGUGAAUUUUGAAGUCUAGUGUCUAGACAGGAAAGUGAAAGAGGAAACAAAUGGUAUAAUCCUGUGUGUCCAAGUGGCUCAGUGGAUAAGAACACUGGCUGGAACUCCUGAGGUCAUAGGUUCGAGUUCUACCUUACCUACUUUUAGGUGAAUUUUAAAGUCUGGAGUCCACAAAGGACAGCGAUAUGUGAAUAAAAAAACACACUUCUCUUGUGUGUGCACAUGGCUCACGGGAUAAGAAGACUGACUGGUACUCCUGAGGUGGUGUGUUCGAGCCUUUUUUGGGACAAGGUGAAUUUUGAAGUCUAGUGUCUAGACAGGAAAGUGAAAGAGGAAACAAAUGGUAUAAUCCUGUGUCUCCAAGUGGCUCAGUGGAUAAGAACACUGGCUGGAACUCCUGAGGUCAUAGGUUCGAGUCCUACCUUGCCCACUUCUUGGUGAAUUUUGAAGGUCUAGAGUUUACAAAGGACAGUGAUAUGUGAAUAAAAAAAUACAUUUCUCUUGUGUGUCCACAUGGCUCACGAGCCUUUUUGGGACAAGGUGAAUUUUGAAGUCUAGUGUCUAGACAGGAAAGUGAAAGAGGAAACAAAUGGUAUAAUCCUGUGUGUCCAAGUGGCUCAGUGGAUAAGAACACUGGCUGCAACUCCUGAGGUCAUAGGUUCGAGUCCUACCUUGCCCUAUUCUUGGUGAAUUUUAAAGGUCUAGAGUCUACAAAGUACAGUGAUAUGUGAAAAAAGAACCCAAUUCUCUUGUGUGUCUACAUAGCUAACGGGAUAAGGAGACUGACUGGUACUCCUGAGGUGGUGUGUUCAAGCCUAUUUUGGGACAAGGUGAAUUUUGAAGUCUAGUGUCUAGACAGGAAAGUGAAAGAGGAAACAAAUGGUAUAAUUCUGUUCGUCCAAGUGGCUCAGUGGAUAAGAACACUGGCUGGAACUCCUGAGGUCAUAGGUUGGAGUCCUACCUUGCCCACUUCUUGGUGAAUUUUGAAGGUCUAGAGUCUACAAAGGACAGCGAUAUGUGAAUAAAAAAAUACAUUUCUCUUGUGUGUCCACAUAGCUCACGGGAUAAGGAGACUGACUGGUACUCCUGAGGUGGUGUGUUCGAGCCUUUUUUGGGACAAGGUGAAUUUUGAAGUCUAGUGUCUAGACAGGAAAGUGAAAGAGGAAACAAAUGGUAUAAUCCUGUGUGUCCAAGUGGCUCAGUGGAUAAGAACACUGGCUGCAACUCCUGAGGUCAUAGGUUCGAGUCCUACCUUGCCCACUUCUUGGUGAAUUUUGAAGGUCUAGAGUUUACAAAGGACAGCGAUAUGUGAAUAAAAAAAUACAUUUCUCUUGUGUGUCCACAUAGCUCACGGGAUAAGGAGACUGACUGGUACUCCUGAGGUGGUGUGUUCGAGCCUUUUUUGGGACAAGGUGAAUUUUGAAGUCUAGUGUCUAGACAGGAAAGUGAAAGAGGAAACAAAUGGUAUAAUCCUGUGUGUCCAAGUGGCUCAGUGGAUAAGAACACUGGCUGGAACUCCUGAGGUCAUAGGUUGGAGUCCUACCUUGCCCACUUCUUGGUGAAUUUUGAAGGUCUAGAGUCUACAAAGGACAGCGAUAUGUGAAUAAAAAAAUACAUUUCUCUUGUGUGUCCACAUAGCUCACGGGAUAAGGAGACUGACUGGUACUCCUCAGGUGGUGUGUUCGAGCCUUUUUUGGGACAAGGUGAAUUUUGAAGUCUAGUGUCUAGACAGGAAAGUGAAAGAGGAAACAAAUGGUAUAAUCCUGUGUGUCCAAGUGGCUCAGGGGAUAAGAACACUGGCUGCAACUCCUGAGGUCAUAGGUUCGAGUCCUACCUUGCCCACUUCUUGGUGAAUUUUGAAGGUCUAGAGUCGACAAAGUACAGUGAAAUUUAAAAAAAUACAUGAUUGUCUCGUGUGUCUACACGGGUCACUGGAUUCAAUCCUCAUUGGGGACGCCCUCUGCUCAGCCACCGGCCAUCCGCCGCGCGGCAUAUGACCCAAUAUUCGACAGUGACUAAAAUUAUAAAUAGACAGAUUAAAAAUAAUUACAAACACUUAAUUGGAGAUCCAGGGUUAUUGGAAAACCACCAAAUUAUUUUAGCCUAUAGAAAAAGUAAAAAUUUAAAAGACAUUUUAGUACGGGCCAAAUUAAAUCAGGUACAACCAAUUAAUACAAACCCCAAAUUUAAUUUUUUCCAGACAUUGACCUAUGUAACAAACAAAUUGGAUAAAACAAUGUUUAAAAUCAAACAAAAAUUCACAUUACAAACUAAAAACUGUGUUUACAUUAUAAUUUGCAAUAAAUGUGGAAAACAAUACAUUGGAGAAACAAAAAAUACGUUACGAACAAGAAUGUGGCAACAUAGGUACAAUAUAAAAAAUCAAAAAGAAACUAAUACUCCCCUUGUACAACACUUCAUACACCACGGCAUCGACGCCAUCAGGAUGGCAGGGAUCCAGAGUAACUUACUCUGGACAGAUAAAGACAGGAAAAACAUGGAGAGGAGAUGGAUUUAUUUAUUACAAACCAAAGAACCAAUUGGCCUUAAUAUCAAAUUUUAAUCAAUUUUUGUUUUACAUCCACAUGUGAUUAGGGGCUCUAAUGCCUAACCCUGACCCCUGAUCACUAACCACCAACCCCUAAUCACUAACCACCAAACUCUUAUCACUAACCCCUGACCCCUAACCACUAACCCCUAGCCCUAAUCUAACGCCUAACCAGAAUCCUAACCCUAACCCUAACCUUCGGGGAUCAAAAUCUAACCCUAACCCUAUCCCUAACCCUAACCCUAACCCUCGGGGAUCAAACAUCUAACCCUAACCCUAUCCCUAACCCUAUCCCUAACCCUAACCCUAACCUUCGGGGAUCAAAAUCUAACCCUAACCCUAUCCCUAACCCUAACCCUAACCCUAACCCUCGGGAAUAAAAUCUAACCCUAACCCUGGCCCUAACCCUAACCCUAACCUCUAGAUCUUGCCCUAAACCUAACCCUAGCCUUAACCCUAACCCUAACCUCUCUAACCCUAGCCCCGACCCCUAACCCUAACCUUUAAAAACUAAUAAUUUAUUUGUACUAAUUAUUUUUAAUUCAUUAUUAAUUAUUAAACUUCAUAAUACGCUAAAAAUAGUUAUGAUUUGACAUUUAAACCAUAAAUAUUAAAAAUGCAUAUCUUAUCUAACAUUUAAAAAGGAUUAAGGGCUAAAAACACUACAACUAUCUUUAAAAUUCAACUUCAUUAAAAUACUAAUUGGCAAUUAUGGAUCUAAAAGACUAAAGUUUCAAUGGGGCAUUAAAUUACAAUUCAUUUUCAAUUAAUCUGUUAAAAAGAGGGGAAAACAUUCUAAAUUGGGCCUUAAAAUUACAAUUAAUCAGCUAAAACAGGGUAGAAAUUUCUAAAUUGGGCAUUACAAUUACAAUUCAUAAAGUUUAAUCACUUAAAAAGAGGGUAAAAAGUUCUAAUUAGGCAUUAACAUUCAGGUCAUUUAAUUUUAGUUGGCAUUUAUGGGGUUAACUGCACCCAGAUGGUAUCCAGACGGCCGGGGGCCCCCGUCUGGCUCUGCUCUCUCCCACGCCCCUAUAAAUAACACACGCACACAGAGCUCAGUUUCUUCACUUCUCCUAUGUCUCCUGAAGAGAAAACAUCUCAUACACACACUAAAACAAGUCCAGACAUAUCCCAUUUGUGCCCAUAGCCUGAAGAAGACCCACAGCGGUCGAAACGUCGCGACUGGGCACUCUUUAUCACACCUUUUCUUUAUUUCUUCCUCCUCAUAGGCAUUUUAUUUGGUUUUCUUUCUUUUAUUUCAUUUUGAUUUCAGAAAAAAACAAAAAAAGCAUAAAAAAAUAAAAGAACAAUUCAUUUUUUUAUAUAUACAGUUUUUGUUUUAAAUAUUUUUUCAUUUCAUUAGAUUAAUAAAAAGAUAGAUAGAUACACAAAUAAAUAAAUACAUAGUUUAAUAAAUACAGUACAUUAAUAAAUAGUAAUAAAUAAUUAAAAAGAUUAAAAACAAUCUUGACUUAUGAGCAACAAGACUGGACUGAAGUGCGAUACGGGAGAAGGCGUGGUCGACGCCCGUACCGCACUAAUAAUCAGCAGUACCAAACGGGGUCGUGGGGGACGGGGAACAGGGGGAUGGACCGUGCACCUCCUGUCUCCUAUCCUAGGAGACAGUCCCCCUUUUCCCGUAAUCCUAACCCUAACCCCUAACCCUAACCCCUAACCCCUAACCCUAACCCUAACCCCUAACCCCUAACCCUAACCCUAACCCCUAACCCUAACCCUAACCCCCUAACCCUAACCCUAACCCUAACCCCCUAACCCUAACCCUAACCCCCUAACCCCCUAACCCUAACCCUAACCCUAACCCCCUAACCCUAACCCUAACCCUAACCCUAACCCAGGCAGAUCUUUCAAAAGAGCCACCUCAAGAGUGGAAGAGCGCCUUCGCUGUGGCCACGAGAUGGGCUAGAAGGAACCUGCCUCGCAUAAAGCAGGAGGUUAUUGACCACGCGGAGGCUCUGAUAGCCUCCUGUGUGAAGCCUGAUGCAGCACAGGACACAGAGACAGCCCCUGCUGAGCCUGCUGCUGCACAGGAAAAAAGACAAAAUGAUGAUCCACAAAUUGUGGACAAACCUGUAAACAUAAAGCAGACACCACAACAAAACACACAGUCAGCACAAGCACAACAACAACAACAAAACAAAACACCACCACAACAACAACAACAAAAAACACCACAACAAACCAAAACACCUCAGACUCCACUCCACACACCACACACAGAACCACAACAUAACAAACAAGAGGAGAAACAAACACCUACAAACAAUACAAAACAGUACUCACACAUAGGGGAAAACCAAGACACGGAGCUGGAGACAACUCCUGUUCUGUCUCCACAACAGAGCUUCCUGUCCAAGCCGGACAUGGAGUUUCUGGAUUUUCUGGAAGGAAACUCUCCCUCUCCCCCAAAACCUGUAACAUUCAAACCAAAAAGACACAUUAGGAAAAAAAAGUGACUCCUAAUCACUAACCACCAAACCCUAAUUACUAACCACUAACCCCUAAUCACUAACCCCUGACCCCCAACCACUAACCACUAGCCCUAAAACUAACGCCUAACCAGAAUCCUAACCCUAACCCUAACCCUCGGGGAUCAAAAUCUAACCCUAACCCUGGAUCUAACCCUAACCCUAACCCUCGGGGAUCAAAAUCUAACCCUAACCCUAAAUCUAACCCUAACCCUAACCCUCGGGGAUCAAAUCUAACCCUAACCUCUCUAACCCUAGCCCUGACCCCUAACCCUAACCUCUAAAAACUAAUAAUUUAUUUUAAUUAAUUCUUUUUAAUCCAUUAUUGAUUAUUAGACAUUAAAACCAUAAAUAUUAAAAAUGCAUAUCUUAUCUAAAGUUUAAAAAGGGAAUUAGGGGCUAACAUAAUUACAUCUGUCUUUAAAAAUUCAAAUUCAUUACAAUUCUAAUUGGCAAACGUUAAAAUUGGGCAUUACAAUUACAAUUCAUUCAAUUAAAUAAGUUAAAAAGAGCAUAAAAAAUUCUAAUUGGGCAUUACAAAUAUAAUUCAUUAAAAUUAAUCUGUUAAAAGAGGGUAAAAAAAUCCAAUUGGCCAUUAACAUUCAUGUCAUCUAAUUUCAGUUGGCAUUUAUGGGGUUAACUGCACCCAGACGGCCGGGGGCCCCGUCUGGCUCUGCUCUCUCCCACGCCCCUAUAAAUAAAUCACGCACACAGAGCUCACUUCUCUCACUUCGCAUAUGUCUCCUGAAGAGAAAACAUCUCAUACACACACUCAGACAAGUCCAGACAUAUUCCCUUUUGUGCCCAUAGCCUGAAGAAGACCCAAGCGGGUCGAAACGUCGCGACUGGGCACUCUUUUCACACCUUUAUCUUGAAUUCUUCAUUUUGAUACACAUUUUAUUUAGUUUUCUCACUUUUAUUUCAUUUUUAUUUCACAAAAAACAAAAAAAAGCAUAAAAAAAUAAAAAACAAUUCAUUUGAUACAGUUUUUGUUUUAAACACCUUGAUUUGAAUAAAAAGAUCGAUAGAUAGACCAAUAAAUAAAUAAAUAGUUUCAUAGAUACACCACAUUAAUAAAUAACAAUAAAUAAUUAAAAAGGUUAAAACAACAAUCAUGACUUACGACCAAGAACAAUGGACUGAAGUGCGAUACGGGAGAAGGCGUGGUCAACGUCCGUACCGCACUAAUCAGCAGUACCAAACGGGGUCGUGGGGGAUGGGGAACAGGGAACAGGGAACAGGGGGAUGGACCGUGCACCUCCUGUCUCCUAUUCUAGGAGACAGUCCCCCUUUUUCCAUAAUCCUAACCCUAACCCUAGCUCCAACCCUAACCCUAACCCUAGCCUCAGUCUAACCACCAUGUGAAGAGCCUUUAAUGGGCUGAACAAUAUUAGAAACAAAUGUGAUACCUUUGUCCAUCAACAAUCACAGCAACUCCAAUCUUAAAAUUGGUCACCCAUGUAAAGAUUUCUGCUUACAAAACCUGUUUACAAACAAAGAGUUCAUACUUUAAAUCAAGGUACUAUAGAAUGUUGUUUCUUUAUAUGUUUAUGUUUUGUUUUUUUAUAUGGUUUUUGAUUUAUCAUUUCAUUGCACACAAAAUGUUACAGGAUUGACAAUAAUAUUUUUCUUUUUUUCUUUCUUUCAGUUUCACUUAUAUGAAAACUCAGUUUGAUUUUUUCAAGUUGAUGUAAAUUGUAAAUUAAAUAUAUUGUGUAAUGUGUUCAUGUGUCAUUUACAUUUUUUUUCUACUUCUUUCAUCAUGAAGGCCUUUUUAGCCAUCUUUAAAAUUCUUUACCAUAUUUGCUGCAAUGUUCAAAUUCAGUUCUUUAACAAUUUUAACAUUCAUAGAACUUCUACUUUAUCUUACCAAGUUUUUUUUUCAUUCAUACAACUUCUAUUUCUUUUUCAUUAUCUUCUUCUUCUUCAGUUCUGUUACUGUUUAAACAUUCAUACAACUUCUAUUUCUUACACUUCAACUCUUCAACAUUUACAUUUUACAUGUAUACUUUCCUCCAUUUUUUUCACAGUUUUGCUUUUCAGUUUUCAGCAUUCAGCAUUUCCACGCAUGCGGAUGUAUUUUUCUUUUUUCUACCCUUUAUACUUUAUGAUUUUUUUAACUUUUUGUGCAAAAAUUUUAACAUUGAAGUCAAUGGGGAAAUCUUAAAAUUCUACCUUUUACUCUUCCACCUUCAAAGCCUUAUAACUUCAGCAUACUUUCAACUAGAGACCUCAUUUUUGCUUUAAAAUGUUCAUUCACUUGUCGACUAUUAAAGUUGUACUCAGUUUUUUGAUAUCUUUUACAGUUUUUCCACAAUUAAGCUUUAGGCAACUUGUGCUUUUCAGCAAAUUUUCAGGCUUUAUAAUGGGUGUAUUGGAGAGGCUAGAGUGAAGGGGCGUUCAGACCAGCCGCGACCUGACGCGACUUGGCAACGGCUCCCAAUGCAAAGUCUAUGGCCAUCCACGACCUGACGCGACUUGGCGACCGCUGGCUGCCUGCGACGCAACCUGACGCGACCAAGCAACCGGUUGCCAAGGCGCGUCCCCGAGGUCGCGUCACCGAGGUCGCAGGACGCCAAGUCACAUCGGUCCCAAAGUUCAAAUAUUUGAACUUUGGUAGCGACUCCGUGCCGCGACAGCCAAUCAGGGCUCUGCUGACGUCAACAAACCGGUGAAACAAGGAAGAGAAGAAGAAAGGGGCGUUCAGACCAGCCGCGACUUGGCGACGGCUCCCAAUGCAAAGUCUAUGGCCAGCCGCGACCUGACGCGACUUGGCGACCGCCGGCUGCCUGCGACGCGACCUGACGCGACCUAGCGACCGGUCGCCAAGGCGCGUCCCCAAGGUCGCAGGACGCCAAGUCGCGUCGCUCCCAAAGUUCAAAUAUUUGAACUUUGGGAGCGACUCUGUGCCGCGACAGCCAAUCAGGGCUCUGCUGAGGUCAACAAACCGGCGAAACAAGGAAGAGGAGAAGAGGAAUGGAGGAGCAGUUAAUCACAUCCGUUAGCUACCACCCGGUGCUAUACGACGUGGGUUGCGGGCUGUACCGGGACCGCAACGCCAAAGAAGAAGCAUGGGGGAAGGUGGCCCAUGAUGUCGGGCUUUCUGGUAAGCUUGUUUGUUUAUUUAUUUAUUUCAGUGAGCGGACUGUUUUAUGAAAACAUAGCUAACUGCCCCUGCUUGCUAGGCUACAUGUUUCAACGUAUGUGUGUGUGUCUUUGCAGUGGAUGUGUGCCGCAAGCGGUGGAAGGGGCUUAGGGACCUUUAUAUGAGGGACAGACAGAUAUCAAAUCAAUCAAUCAAUCAAAUUUUAUUUAUAUAGCGCCAAUUCACAACAGUCGUCAUCUCAAGACGCUUUUCAAGGAACAAGAGCAGGUCUGGACCACGCUCAUUGUUUGAUGAUCAAGAACCAACCUAAGAUGGGUUUUGGCCCAUCUCAACUAACAUGAGUUACAGUGGCAAGGAAAAACUUCCUUUUAACAGGCAGAAACCUUGGGCAGGACCAGCCUCAUGCUAGACAGCCACCAUGCCGCUGCUGGGUUGGGGAGGAAUGUAGAGAGAAGAGGGGAGAGGGGGAGAGGACAGGGGGAGGGAGAGAGACAACAAGGUAGGGGAAAGGCGAGAGAGAAUUAGUACGGAGAGGGAGGGGGAGGGAGAGAGAGUAGGGAACGAGGGUGAGAGAGAGACAGGAGGCAGCAGGAACAACAGCAACAACAACAACAGCUCAUGUAAUGGUGAAACAAAAAGAAGUUCAGUUUACAGGUUUAGGAUAUGAGUGAUAAUGGACAAUGUUGAAUUAAUUGAGUGCGAUUACAGUUAGCAGGCUUAAUCGUAGUCAGUUCUAUUUUGUAUUAUUAAUGUCAAUAAUGACAGUGAGGCUGAUGUUCAUGUCUGCAGUAACAGUAACAGCAGCAGUCCAGAGGAAUCAGAGAGAAGAAGGAGCUCAGGGCCAGGGGGGGGGGGGGGUCUGCAGCAACGGUCCAGAGGAGCCAAAGAGCCAAAGAGUUGGAGGAGCUCAGGGCCCAGGGUGGAUGCAGCUGGGGUCAGGCGGUUCCGCAGCAGACCGUUUGCAGCAUUAGUCCAGUGGCAGCUAAAAGACUCAGAGACACUCAGAGAGACAGAAAACUGGUCAGUGACUUAUAUGGGACAUAAAGAUCUAAAGAGGAGAUAGAGACAGACUCUAGCUCAGUGUGCCAGAUAGCCCCGGCAGUCUAGGCCUAUAGCAGCAUAACUAAGAGCUGGUUCAAAUCAGCCCUGACUAUAGGCUUUAUCAAAGAGGAACGUUUUAAGUCUACUCUUGAAAGUUGAGAGUGUGUCUGCCCCCCGAACCUCGAGCGGUAAAUGAUUCCAGAGAAGAGGUGCCUGGUAGCUGAAAGCUCUUCCUCCAAUACUACUUUUAGAGACAUUUGGUACAACGAGCAGACCUGCAGACUGUGAGCGUAACGGUCUAGAUGGAAAGUACGGUAUAACAAGCUCGUCGAGAUAUGAUGGCGCCUGGCCAUUAAGCGCUUUAUAUGUCACAAGGAGGAUUUUAAACUCAAUUCAAUAUUUAAUAGGGAGCCAGUGAAGAUAGGCUAAAACAGGAGAGAUGUGCUCCCUUCUUCUAGUUCUAGUCAAUACCCGAGCUGCUGCAUUUUGGACCAGCUGAAGAGUCCUUAAUGACUUACUAGAGCAGCCUGAUAGGAGAGAAUUACAGUAAUCCAGCCUAGAGGUAACAAAGGCAUGGACUAGUUUUUCUGCAUCGCUCUGAGACAAUAUGCGUCUAAUUUUUGAGAUAUUGCGCAGGUGGAAAAAGGCUGUCCUGGAAAUUUGUUGAAUGUGGGAGCUAAAAGAUAAAUCCUGAUCAAAUACAACUCCUAGAUUUCGCACAGUGGGGCUGGAUGCCAGGCUG